UCUUCUCUCUCUCUCCCUCUGUCUUUCUGCCUAUCUCUUCUCUCCCCUCCACUCGCCAAACCCAACCCCCACCCCAGACCUAACCCUCCAUGGAAUUACUCAACACACCCAAACCACCACCACUGGGUGGGGUGGGGUGUGAGAGAAGAGAGAGGUAGAGGGAGUGAGGUGAGAGAGAGAGAGAGAGAGAGAGGCAUAUAGAAGAGAUAAGAUAGCUAAAAUUAUUAUAAUGGCUAUACCACAUCGGCACCUUUAAUGGUUUUAUGGAUGGAAAUGGACGGAAGUGGUAAAGUGAGAAAUUUUCAACAAUUUUUAGAGAUUCUGGGGGUUAUUUGAAAAAAAUUCAGUUUAAAGGGAUAAUGUGAGACUGAGUGUUCGUGUUUCAGGACUGAAACAUUAAAUAAGCCUAAUUUGAUUGAUCGGUUACAUUUUCUCUUUUUAGUGACAACAUCAGUUGCAGAAAAAAAUCGCCAAGGUUGAAGUCAAAGCGGUGCCGUCUCGAAUGAUACGUUCACACUUCACAUACAAACAAUAGAUAACCGUAAACAAGGGAGCCGCAACCCAAUCUGCUACGAUGGCGGCCGAGCCUCCUCGCACCGCCACAACCACAGCAACUCACGCGACGGCCAAAACACAAGUGAAACGACCCCGUUCCAUCUUCGACGUCCCCGCCAACUUCUUCGACUCCUGCGAGCUCCUUCAAUCUUCCAGCCUCUCUACUGUUUCAACCUCCGAGACCUCUACCUACAAUUCCGCCGUUGAAACCCUAGACGACUCCGAGCCUGAGCGCAAUGAAGAAAACCGCUCCCAAAACGCCGUCGGAGCACCUCGGUGGACCUGCAACACUUGCAAAGCCGAGUUCGAUUCCCUCGAAGACCAGCGCGCGCACUUCAAGUCCGAUAUUCACCGAUUCAACGUGAAGCUAAGUGUUGCUGGAAAGAGUAUUGUGAAGGAGGAGGACUUUGAUGAAUUAACAUCUGAUUCUUUUAAAGACUAUGAUGUCUCGAGUAUAUCGGGGUCAGAGGAAGAUGAGCCUGAAAAGGGAUUUGGCUCUUUGAGGUUAUCUAGGGCAAGUGCAAGUAUUAGGCAGCAGAAGUUAUUUAUCUACCUUCAGACGGGUGAGGGAGUUUCUGUUUCGAAGUGUUUAAUUACAAAUGAGUCUGGACCUGAAAGUACUUUGUCAUGUGAGGAAGUGAUAGAGAGAUUGAAAACGUUGGUUCAUGAGCCCAGGGAUAAGACCCAUCUUAGAAUUGUGUUGCUUGCAAGUGGUGGGCAUUUUGCUGGUUGUGUUUUUGAUGGUAACUUGAUUGUGGCUCACAAGACCUUCCACAGAUAUGUUGUAAGGGCCAAAGCUGGAAAAAAACAGUCAUCGAAAGAUGCAAGUGGAAGGGCUGCACAUUCUGCCGGUGCUUCUCUUCGACGUCAUAAUGAACUUGCUUUGAAAAAGGAAAUUCAUGAGCUACUUGCUGCUUGGAAGCCAUAUUUUGAUGCUUCAUCUUGCGUUUUUGUUUCUGCUCCUUCAAGCAAUCAUCAACUGCUUUUUAAUGGAGAGAAACCAAUUUUUAGUCAUCAGCAUUGUCUUGUUCAAAAUGUUCCAAUGACUGUUCGGAGACCUACUUAUAAGGAAGCUCGGCGUAUAUAUGAGCAAUUGACCCAAGUUGCUUACGAAGUAGAUGUGAAUGAAGCUCCUUCAAGUUCCAAAGAGGACCCACCAUAUAGUUCAGGUAUUGACCGCAACAUCAUACCAAGAAUGGAAAAAGUCGACAUUGUUGACAGUUCUGAUUGUAUGGAAAAAAAUGAAGCUUUCCCAAAUUAUGGGAAGUCCAUCGAACUUCCUAUAUCAAGUGACAGUGAUGGUGAGGAAAUAUGUUCGUCAACACCUUUGCAUGAAGCAGCACAGUCUGGAGAUACUCUUAAAGUGUUGGAACUAUUGGAACAGGGUCUGGAUCCUUGCAUCAAAGAUGAAAGGGGACAGACUCCAUACAUGCUGGCAAGUGAAAAGGAGGUCAGAAAUACAUUUAGACGGUUCAUGGCCUCAAACCCCGAUAAGUGGGAUUGGCAUGCUGCUAAGGUACCUAGUGCAUUGACAAAAGAGAUGGAGGAAUCUCAAGCUGCUAAGCAGGCUGAAAAAGAUGCCAAAAAGAAGGCAAGAGCAAAAGAAUUGAAGAAAUUACGAAAAGAAAAAGAAAAGAAAGCUCAGGUUGCAUCCGUUGAUUCACACCUUCCUCAGCAUUGGUCGAUUGGUGGCAUUGGAAAGAGAGAAUUGCUAAUUUCAUUUUCUAUUUUGGCUCUUUUUCUGUUGUCUUCUAAAAAAUGAAAAGUAGAGUAAAAUUUUGAAAUAAUUUAUGUGAGGAUUUCUUUUGCUGAGUUGUGAGGAAGGUCUUGUUGAUUGUAAUUCAGAAGGAACAAUUGACAUCAUUGUGUCAGCAGUGUAUAGUAUUCCUAUUUUUCCUCCAUCUAUAUCUUCUUAGUUUGAUCUCUCUACAUCAUCGUGAUGUAAAUAUGCAGGCUCAGGCUGCUGUUACGCAAAAUGCUUCGACGGAUUUACGAAACCAAGUAUCCUCUACAUCUUCUAUUCUUAAGGGAAAGCCUCAAUCUAGCUCUGGAUCACAGAUCUCUAAAGAGGAGGAACUAAAAAGGGCACAGGCAGCUGAGAGGGAGAAAAGGGCAGCUGCUGCCGAGAGGAGAAGAGCAGCAGCUGAAGCUCUUAGUGCUCAAGGCAACAGCACUGCCGCUGCACCGAGCACCGCACAACCCAAAAGUGGGGUAGCUGGCGAAAUUAACUGCUCCUGUUGUAAUGCAUCACUGGCUGGUAAAGUCCCUUUUCAUAGGUAUAAUUACAAAUACUGCAGCACAUCAUGCAUGCAUGUGCACAGAGAGAUUCUUGAAGAUGGAUAACUUAAAAACUGCUUGUCUUACUUUACUUUCUUCUUGUUAUCUUAUUUGCAAAGCGUUCCGUUCGGUUCUUCCGUAUCAUCUUUGUUCUGUCAUUCUACAAUAUUGAAGUAAUUGAAGCCUUUCAACGACUUAAAAGCAAA